rnacentral:rRNA from 1 species
GACAGAGGGUGCAAACGUUUGUUCGGAAUUACUGGGCGUAAAGCGCGCGCAGGCGGCCUUGCAAGUCGGGCGUGAAAUCCCACGGCUCAACCGUGGAAGUGCACUCGAAACUGCGAGGCUAGAGUCUUGGAGAGGAAGGCGGAAUGCUUGGUGUAGAGGUGAAAUUCGUAGAUAUCGGGAGGAACACCAGUGGCGAAGGCGACUUCCUGGCCUGUUCUUGACGCUGAGGCGCGAAAGCUAGGGGAGCAAACGGG